CAGGCCUCACUUCAGCAUCACAGCGAUCAGCAGGCCAACCUGGCCCGGCACCUGGUGGGCAACAUGAGGAAACUACAUGCUGCCGGAUCGUCAAUAGAUGUCGCUGCUGAAGACUCCCCUCCAGCUAUAGAAGAGGAACCGGAUGCUACUGUAGCAGACAGCCUGCGGGUAGACGAGCCUGAACGACUGGUACUGCCAUCUCCCGGUGUCCGACGGAGACAGGUCGACAAGAAAACAGUGGAUAAACUUCAGGAAAUCAGCACUGAUCUUUUGUCACAGGCGAAACGCUUGGAGAAGGUGCUCGGUCCCCGGCAAGGAAAGCGGCCUACCAGAUCGUUCUCUCAAGGUCAUCACAGCAGAGCUUGGCCCAGAACGGGGGA